rnacentral:rRNA from 1 species
GGGAAUUUUCGGCAAUGGGGGCAACCCUGACCGAGCAAUGCCGCGUGAAUGAAGAAGGUCUUCGGAUCGUAAAGUUCUGUUGUUGAGGAAGAAUGUGUUGUCGAGGAAAUGCGAUGACAUUGACGGUACUUGAUUAGAAAGCCCCGGCUAACUAUGUGCCAGCAGCCGCGGUAAUACAUAGGGGGCGAGCGUUAUCCGGAUUUAUUGGGCGUAAAGAGUGCGUAGGCGGUUUGUAAGGUCAGUCGUAAAAGAUCAGGGCUUAACCCUGUAGGGCGAUUGAAACCGGCAGACUUGAAUAUGGUAGAGGCUAGUGGAAUUCCAUGUGUAGCGGUGGAAUGCGUAGAUAUAUGGAGGAACACCAAUGGCGAAGGCAGCUAGCUGGCCAGAAUUGAC